GAGAGGCUGUGGAUUCAUUCUGAGUUAAGAAAAAUCCAGUUUGAUCAAGGCAGACCACCUGAGAAAUCUCCGGUAGGAACAGAUGGUCCGGAUGUCUGAGUUCUACAAUCAGAACAGAUUCAAGACUGCUGCCUGAGACUUUAAGACAAGAAACUGUUCUUUUCUGGACUGUCUGAUGGUAUGCUGUACUAACUGGAUAUGCAGGAAACAUAAAAAAAGUUAUUGGUAAAAAUGCCUAAAGAAGUUGAGAUAGUCCUUCAGGGUUUUUGAAGAGGAAAGUGACUGACAAACUGCCACCAUAGGUGAAACUGUCUUUGAAACUUCCCGGAAAAUCUACAAGAUAUUAUGGGCCAGUAAGCUGAAGGCGGACAAUGAAGGCUGAUGAGAAGCCAAGGACAAUGGCACUAGGUUUCGAGCCUAAUACAUGAACCGGCUUUGUGGGAGCUUAGCCUGUUUAGACGCUCACCUUCCUGGACGUAGAUAGAAGACCUUCGUCUUC